GACGAACGCUGGCGGCGUGCCUAAUACAUGCAAGUAGAACGCACAGUUUAUACCGUAGCUUGCUACACCAUAGACUGUGAGUUGCGAACGGGUGAGUAACGCGUAGGUAACCUGCCUGGUAGCGGGGGAUAACUAUUGGAAACGAUAGCUAAUACCGCAUAAUAUUGAUUAUUGCAUGAUAAUUGAUUGAAAGAUGCUAUUGCAUCACUACCAGAUGGACCUGCGUUGUAUUAGCUAGUAGGCGAGGUAACGGCUCACCUAGGCGACGAUACAUAGCCGACCUGAGAGGGUGAUCGGCCACACUGGGACUGAGACACGGCCCAGACUCCUACGGGAGGCAGCAGUAGGGAAUCUUCGGCAAUGGACGAAAGUCUGACCGAGCAACGCCGCGUGAGUGAAGAAGGUUGUCGGAUCGUAAAGCUCUGUUGUAAGAGAAGAACGGGUGUGAGAGUGGAAAGUUCACACUGUGACGGUAUCUUACCAGAAAGGGACGGCUAACUACGUG
rnacentral:rRNA from 1 species